UGCUGACCAGCUAGCCCACCCUAACAAAAACAACAACCCAAUAUAAAUAACCCCAAACACACUACUCCUCCUAUAAACAAACCAUUUUACCCCCCUAGUAUGGGCGACAGAAAAGGAACUAUUGGAGCGAUAGAGAAAGUACCGCAAGGGAACGCUGAAAGAGAAAUGAAAUAACCCAGUAAAGCCUAAAAAAGCAGAGAUUUUACCUCGUACCUUUUGCAUCAUGAUUUAGCUAGUACUACCCAAGCAAAGAGAACUUUAGUUUGGACCCCCGAAACUAGGUGAGCUACUCCAAGACAGCCUAUCAAUAGGGCAAACCCGUCUCUGUGGCAAAAGAGUGGGAAGAGCUUUGAGUAGAGGUGACAGACCUACCGAACCUAGUUAUAGCUGGUUGCCUGAGAAUUGGAUAGGAGUUCAGCCUCCAGGCUUCUCUAUUCACCGCGGUCUUACCCCUACCGAUGCACUGAAGAAGCCUAGAGAGUUAAUCAAAGGGGGUACAGCCCCUUUGAGACAAGAUACAACUUUUCCAGGAGGGUAAAGAUCAUAUUUACCCAAGGUAACAAUGCCCAGGUGGGCCUAAAAGCAGCCAUCCUUACAGAAAGCGUUAAAGCUCAAGCAUUACACCUUCCCACAUAUUCAGAUAACCAUAUCCCAACCCCCUAAUAUUAUCAGGCCAUCUCAUGCAUACAUGAGAGUGCACAUGCUAAUAUGAGUAACAAGAGAGCCUCCGCCUCUCUCCUUGCACACGUGUAAAUCGGAACGAACCCCCACCGAAACUUAACGGCCCCAAACAAAGAGGGCAAUGAACAACAAGUAAGCAACCAGAAAACCAUCCAAAAAACAACCGUUAACCCCACACUGGUGUGCCAUUAAGGAAAGACUAAAAGAAAAAGAAGGAACUCGGCAAACAUACCAAGCCUCGCCUGUUUACCAAAAACAUCGCCUCUUGCAAAAACAAAGAAUAAGAGGUCCAGCCUGCCCUGUGACUAUAUGUUUAACGGCCGCGGUAUUUUAACCGUGCGAAGGUAGCGCAAUCACUUGUCUUUUAAAUGGAGACCUGUAUGAAUGGCAUUACGAGGGCUUAACUGUCUCCUUUUUCUAGUCAGUGAAAUUGAUCUCCCCGUGCAGAAGCGGGGAUGUAACCAUAAGACGAGAAGACCCUAUGGAGCUUUAGACACCAAGGCAUAUCAUGUCAAACACCCCUAAACAAAGGACUAAACCAAAUGAAUCAUGCCCCCAUGUCUUUGGUUGGGGCGACCGCGGGGAAAUAAAAAACCCCCACGUGGAAUGGGAGUACUACCUCCUACAACCAAGAGCUGCAGCUCUAAAAAACAGAAUAUCUGACCAAUAAGAUCCGGCAACGCCGAUCAACGGACCGAGUUACCCUAGGGAUAACAGCGCAAUCCCCUUUUAGAGCCCAUAUCGACAAGGGGGUUUACGACCUCGAUGUUGGAUCAGGACAUCCUAAUGGUGCAGCCGCUGUUAAGGGUUCGUUUGUUCAACGAUUAAAGUCCUACGUGAUCUGAGUUCAGACCGGAGUAAUCCAGGUCAGUUUCUAUCUAUGAUAUGUUCUUUUCUAGUACGAAAGGACCGAAAAGAAGAGGCCAAUGCUAAAAGCACGCCUCACCCCUCCUAUUGAAAACAACUAAAAUAGGCAAAAGGGCAUACCCCUCCACGCCCAAGAUAAUGGCAU
rnacentral:rRNA from 1 species